GGAUUUAACUAAGACACCCUCUAUGUAUAUAUACAGUCAACCCUCGAUUUAUGAACCUUCGAUUUAUGAAUUCCCUUGUUUUAUGUACACGAGCACGGGAAACCAAACUUUUCCCAUUCAUUUUUCCCUCGUUUUAUGAACCUCGAUAUUCGAAUAAUGAACAGAAUUUAUGGGAACCAACUAGGAGUUGCCCAGCGUUUUUGCGCGCAAUUUAUGAACGGAUCGUUCCGAGGUCAACAGAAACCUUCUAAGGGAUAAUUCUGUGUUCUUAUGAAUGACGCCUGAACGGACAAAACGUUUUCCAGGUAUUGCACCCUCGGUUCUUAAACCCUCGAAAUACGAACAACAAACGGGUUUUCCGGGGUCGCACAAGGUGCGACCAAUUGUUCCUGACCUCAGUUGAUGAAUAAGGUGGUUGCUGUCACCCGGAGAUUAAUAAAUGAAGGUUAAAAAUCCCGGAGGAAAUCUGAGACCAGUCCAGUGCGAAUGUAGUGACAUCUCUCAUUUCCAAGAUUGACACAGUGGAAGGCAUGGUCCAAAGCAAAAUUAAACAAUUUAGUAUUGCAUAAUAAACAGAGUGUUAAUGCGCUAACGUCUGUUCUUUGUGAGAUUGAUACAGCAGAAGGCAUGGUCAAAAGCAAAAUUACACAAUAUAUGGCAUUAUAAACACAAUUCCAACUCGGAAAUACUGUUGCAUUUGCUCGAUAGUACCCAGUUAACUGAAUUUUCGAUUUAUGAACGAUUUUUCGGGGAACCGAGGGUAUUAAUAAAUCGAGGGUUGACUGCAUAUAUAUAUAUAUAAAUGAAAAAUAGCCGAAGCUCACCUGUACAUACACACUGUUAUCAGUGCUGCCAUUGUUGUGGGGUUCGAUGAGCACUGUGUUAUGCCAGUUGAGGACAAAGCAGAUCAUAUGAUAUUAAGUUAUUCUUUUUCUGCUGCUGGGAAGCACGUGAUAUAACGCAAGCAUGUCAGUUUAUAUGCUUCCAAGCAGAAGAGCCUUGAGAUUAGUGUGCAUCGUGCUGUUCGAAUUUCUGGGGAGUUUCUGGGGAGUUUCAUACCAAAAUGAGGGGUGCAUUGGCUGGUGCACAACAGUUGACUUGCUUAAACAGAGGAAAUGAGCGGUGGGACAGAUAGCCCUUCAAAAGCUGAAAAUUCUAUACUGCCACUCCCAGUUUCUUUGCUUUAAUAGUGCUCAACAUUCAGUAGAGAUUGUGCACUGCUGGUGCAGAUCAAAUUGGGACGUAAAGAUUAUUUUGUUCAGAAAAGUGUUCAAAGUAGUGUUUAUGAGGACCAAGCAAGCCUCCAAACUCAUGAGGACUGGCUGAAGACACCAAGAAGAACCCUGAUGAGCACCAAAUCAAAAUCAGGAUGGCUGCAACAUCCAAAAUGAGAAGUGCAGACCUGGCAACGUUGCCAGUGGCCACAUCGUUACAAAAGUACCCCUACAUAGCCUAUUCUGACCAGUUCUUCAAUGACUUUGAGAGCUUGACUGGCAGAGAGGCUUUGGAACCUGUGAGACACGGACUGGAGGAGGUGAUCAGUCUUGUGUUGAAGGAAGCUAUUGGUACAACCAGUGAACUACUUGAAACGAUAUAACAAGUUCCAAACCUGGAGGGCAUAUGCUCCAGACAUAAGAAACCUGCGCUCCGUGUUGUCUCCUGCUGCCUACGUGAAGCCAACGGCAUGUUACAACUGUUUGUGCAGAAAGACGUGAGUGCCUUCCCACAUAAGAGCUGCAGUUGAUUCCUUCACUUGUAGCUACGAUCAGGUAACGCUUUCCAUGCACCCUAUUCAAUAAUUUCAAGGUUAUACAGGGUAUUUCACCUAACGUGAUAAAAAAUUCUAAUUGGUGACAAAUUCUAAUUCGCUGGAGAAUUGUGGGACUUUCGGCAAUUACCUCCUGGAAAUUUUUUCCACCAUUUAGGAAGGCCUGUAAAAAACUCACGUAAGCAGUACAUCACUGAAAGUGACCAAAUGAAAUAAGUGUGAUGAAGAAAUAUGGCCGCGCAAAAGCCGGUUUGCAAUAUUGUCCUUUCUGUAUCACAUGCUGCCUCUGUGCUAUUAACACCAUGUGUACAGUGCACUGGAGGCUUACUGGAUCAUGCCCAGGAUCUACACCUGCUUGUUGAAGGUCUCCAGGUAUUCCGAGUCAUUGACGCCGAAGAGGGCAUGGCCGCGAUAUUCUCUGCUUACUGGGUAUUUCAUGCGAAAUACUGGAUGAAGAUAAGAAACAUGCUGACGUUUAUGGAGCGCCACUGGUUUAAGCUACAUAACACAAAGCCGACAGCGGCUGUGAUGAAAUUGGUAAAAAAAAGUGGCACGCGCUAAGUAGUGGGUUACAUCAGUGUGUUUCUUGAGGCGCAUUCUAAAACUUCAUGCACAGUGCUGGGCAUAAGUGUACGGAACACGCUUCGGUGUACUCCUUCGUCAGAGCAACAUGCUAGCAGUGAACGUGCAUAGAGACAUGUGCCUAGGUGACCCAGCCACCUGUUUGCAAGUCUCUACAAAUGCCGUUGACCGCAUGAUUCUAGGUGGUGUAGUUUUUUCAUUAGAAUUCAAUGACAUGUUUUCUGGGACACCCUGCAUACGGUAACAUUUGCUGGCAGCAUGCGACUUUGAGGGAGGAAUGUGCUGGAGGGUGCUGUAAAUUUUUGUCCAGUACUAUACAAUGUCAUGAAAGUGGGCCAUGUACGGGGGUCACCCAGAAAUUACCCACACUUUGGUUAUGAAAGAAAACAGUAGCUGGGUGCACUGUACUAAAAGCACCUUGCGUACCACGCUAUUUUUUCUUCAGUGGAUUACGACAGCAGUGUUCAGUGACUUAGAAUAUGGAAAAGGGGAGCCAUGUUUCAUGCACCGCAGACAGAACUGAUAUAUAAAAUUCCAGCUCGCAUGAUACUGACUGCACAGAAACUGGCCUCGGACAAAAAGUAUUGGUAAUAAAGUGCACCCAACAACAGGGCUUGCUUUAUUAUUUUUUCUGUGACUGGAGUGCGCUUAAUUUCGACUUGCCUCAAAUAGCUUUUACGAACUUUUUCUGUCUUUGCUGAAAGUGCCAGCUAUUUUAAAACAUACGUACCAUUAUAGGAGGAUCGCUCAUGUUUGCAUACGCUGAUAUACAGGGCAUCCACCGCAAGUAUACAAGUAAUUUUUAAAAAUAAAAAAAUCUCUUUUGUCGUAUUUUAACUAAUGGCGAUGUAAUCUACGCUUAAAGGUUCACCUUGUUCCCAGAUAUCUUUGCGCCAGAAAAUCGCAGAUCAAACUCAAACUCAAAGGUCCACCUUAAGGGGGUAGAGGCAAGCUUCUGUGCUGAUGCAUUAAUUAACUGUGUAAUUAUCAGAAAUAGAGGAUUGCCCCAAUGAGAACAUCGAAUCCCUUGGGGUCACUGGUAAUGUUACAAUUUUCAGAACAAAAAUCGAGGUAGUUGUAGUGCAGGGAAACGACCUGGAAAUUAGGCGACCUGGUGGUCACACUGGAGAGGGAAAAACAUUGUUGCAGCAAUCUCUAGUCUGUCCGAAAUCUGCCCCAGCUGCGAAGCGUUCUGCCCCCCCUCCCCCCGUGUACAGAGGAAUAUAAAAGGGGAGAGCUUACUUGAGCCUGGAAAAAUUCUCCCCAGAUUGCCUUACUUCCAGGUCCUUUCCUUGCUCUAUAACUGUCUGAAUUUUUGUUCUCAAUACAGUUAUGUUACCUGAGACGCCAAGGGAUUGGAUGUUCUCAUUGGGUCAGUCCUGUAUAUUUGAAAAUGAAAUAGUUUGUUAUCGAUAGGUAAUUAAUGCAUCGACAGAGACUUGUGCUUCUUAUGGUGGGCCAUUAGGCGAAGAGUACAUUGUCAUUGGUUAAAACUCUGAAAAAGUGACUUUACUAUUUAAAAAAUACAUCUAUACUUACGAUGGCUCUAUAUGUGUGGCUCUAUAAAUGCAGAAGCUGUCAGCUAUUUUUAAAUGAAUGCACCAUUUUAGGAGGGAUUGUUUUAUUCGUUGUAUUAUUCAUUGUAUUGACUGUUUGAAAAGGAUAAGUCAGCUCGUUAUCAUUUGUGUUUUCAUGUGCCACUGCUCUUCCUCUAUUUAAAUGUGCGGUAUAAAUCUGCAGUGUUCUAUAAAUAAGCAACCUGUUAUGUGACUCACUGCAAGACCAGUCACCUUGUGUUAUUGCUGGUGGCCACUCAGUUUUCUGUGAUACAUACAUGAGGUAUUUUAUGUCAUUGCUUGUUUUGAACGCAUUUGUUAUAAGCUUGCAGGAUCUGAGCAACCCUGUGUUUCGAAUAAAGCUUAAUGUU